rnacentral:tRNA from 1 species
AGGGGUAUAGUUUAAUGGCAAAACGAAGGUCUCCAAAACCUUUGAUGUGGGUUCGACUCCUACUACCCCUGCCA